AGAGAAGUGCGAACACAUAGUUUAUAUGUGUGUGUGUGUGUGUGUGUGUGUGUUAUACACACACACACACACACGUGUAUAUAUUUCUUAUGUGUAUAUAUGUGUGUGUGUGUGUGUUAUACACACACACACACACACACACACACACACACACACGU